ACGAAGGACUAAAUAUAUGGCAGGAGUCAUUUAGGAAAGGCUAGAGUUAAACUGUUGGGACCCGAAAGAUGUUGAACUAUGCUUGUGGUGUUUAAAGCCAAAGGAAACUUUGGUGGAUAGACUUAGGAGUGUUAACGUGCAAAUUACUUGCAAUAUAUGAGUAUAGGGGCGAAAGACUAAUCGAACUAUCUAGUAGCUGGUUCCACCUGAAUAUUCCCUUAGGAAGGUUGAAGUGAGAAAGUAGUGAAGAUUGGUAAAGAUAAUGAUUGGAUGUAAUGGAGAGCUUGACUUUUCAACAUUUUAACAAACUAUGAAUAGUCGAGAGAUUCAAAAAUAUACUAAUUUAUUAGGAGUGAGCAUAUGGGACUUCAAAUCGGCCAAGUCUGGUAAGCAGGACUGGCGAUGCGGGAUGAACCGAACAUACAGAUAAAGUAUCCAAGUCUUGCAUGAGGAGAACCAUAAAAGAGGUUCAUUCACAUUAAAUCCAGGUUGAUGGCCAUGGAAGUUGGAAAUCGCUAAGGAGUGUGUAACAACUCACCAAUCGAAUGGAUAAGCCCUGAAAAUGGAAGGUAUUAUAAUGAGAGAGAGUGAUGCUGUAUCCUUGUGGAGGCUGAGGCACACGAGGAGUACGGAAAUGCAUGGUGUCGACAAUACGUGAGUGAUAAAGGUAGAGAAGUAAUUUCUAUUGAAACAGACUUGAUUACAGAUCUUGGU
rnacentral:ncRNA from 1 species